UACGUAGGGUGCGAGCGUUGUCCGGAAUUAUUGGGCGUAAAGGGCUCGUAGGCGGUUUGUCGCGUCGGGAGUGAAAUCAUCUGGCUUAACUGGGUGCUUGCUUUCGAUACGGGCAGACUAGAGGUAUGCAGGGGAGAACGGAAUUCCUGGUGUAGCGGUGAAAUGCGCAGAUAUCAGGAGGAACACCGGUGGCGAAGGCGGUUCUCUGGGCAUGAUCUGACGCUGAGGCAUGAAAGCGUGGGGAGCAAACAGG
rnacentral:rRNA from 1 species